AUUGAACGCUGGCGGCAUGCUUUACACAUGCAAGUCGAACGGCAGCGCGGGCUUCGGCCUGGCGGCGAGUGGCGAACGGGUGAGUAAUGCAUCGGAACGUGCCCAGUAGUGGGGGAUAGCCCGGCGAAAGCCGGAUUAAUACCGCAUACGACCUGAGGGUGAAAGCGGGGGACCGAAAGGCCUCGCGCUCUUGGAGCGGCCGAUGUCGGAUUAGCUAGUUGGUGGGGUAAAGGCUUACCAAGGCGACGAUCCGUAGCUGGUCUGAGAGGAAGACCGGCCACACUGGGACGUAGACACGGGCCAGACUCCUACGGGAGGGCGGAGUGGGGAAUUUUGGACAAUGGGGGGAAGCCUGAUCCAGCCACGCCGCGGGGGGGAAGAAGGGCCUCGGGUUGUAAAACCCUUUUUGUAGGGAAGAAAAGCUGUUGGCCAAAACCCCCGGGGGAAGACGGUAACUGAAAAAAAAGCAACGGCUAACUACGUG
rnacentral:rRNA from 1 species